GGUGGGUGUGGAGACCACGCUGGAGCGAAACCAGAUCACACGUGACCACGUGGGUCAUCUGUUCCAUCAGCUGCUGCAGGCUGGGAUCCUCUCCACAUCUCAGUUUUUUAAAGGGUUCUCAGAAACCCUCGAGAUAGCAGAUGAUAUGGCGAUUGACAUUCCUUAUGUAUGGCAGUACAUAGCGGAGCUCGUUAAUCCUGUGCUUCGGGAAGGAGGAAUCUCUUUGAGAGAAUUAUUAAUUGAAUUUAGCAAACCACUACUUUCUGUGGCAAGAGCAUAUUAUUUGCAGAAAUAUUGCACCUUCUCUACAAAUGAGCCAAAAGGAAGUGGAGGCCUUAUGGAGGGACUCUAAACUGAGCUGGGCUGAUUUUCUUCCUGAAACCGUGGAUGGGAACAACUUCAUUACUGAGCAGCCCUGAUGAAGUCUGAUGACCUGAAGAGGGUGGAGCUGAGACUUCAGACAGCAGACGGAC